UUUAUAGCAUUUGAAUCAUAAUUCUAAGAUACUUGGUCCUGUGGUUGAAAUAAUUUUCUGUUCUUUGAACCCUUCAUAAAAGGGUAGAACAUAUUUUGUCAGAAAGUAUCUGAUGAAAAAUAAAAGAAAGAAAGUAUCUGAUGCAGAAAUAGUUAAGAGGAAGUUUUUUUCUGGCAAUUUAAAAAAAUGAGAGAGAAAUUGUGAGGAAAAGUGAUAAAAUUAAAAUUCAACAAAGAUAAGUAAAUCCUAAAUUUAUUUGGGUAAAUACUAUCAAAGUCGUGGUAAGUUCAUGAAACCAAAGGCAAUGAAAUAUUUUCUUAUGAACCAGUUCUUCCAACACUAAACGUUCUCUAUGAGGAAUAAAAUCUGGUGCUAGAUAAGGAAAAAACUGAAAAUACUAUUUCUAAACCACUA
rnacentral:lncRNA from 1 species